UGGAGAGUCGCAUUCUUGGAUGGAUCUGUCAGUGAUCAUUGUUGCAUCACCGUUCCUUCGGAAAAGUUUAACUUUCCGCCGACUCCAGGAGCAACUGUUAAAGCCAAAUUUGAACACGCGAACAGCUUUUUGCCAUCGGUAUCAUAUUAAUUAUGAGUAACUUUCUCAAUUUAAAAUGUUCAGCUUGUCGCACAAUGUGGCAGUUUUGAAUGGUUUCGUGAUGUAACGGUGGUGAAUUCCAAAGUUGUGGUAUGAAAAUCGAAUUAUUUUACCAUUUUACAAUCAACUUGUUUCAGAUCUUCGCUAUUGUGCACUUCUCAAAUGAAUGUCUAGAAAGAGAUCCAUUUAAAAUAAAUGGAAUGGAUUACAGCAUUAUCGAGAACGAGAAUACGGACUUUCAAAAGAUUGUACUUCCAACUCGUGUGCUUCAAACCUCAAUCACAAGUAGAUCAAAUUUGCAAAACACCGACACUCCUUUUAUUUAUCGAAUCGGCGUAUGCUGGGAGCCAAUAAGUUUUGAAAACGGCGUGACUGUCAAUUGGAGAUAUUAUGCUGAUUUUCCAAUUACUCCCAUUUUCGAGCUCUACUACAGAGAAACCGUACGUUGAGCUAAGAGCCUUAAAGCAAAAUAUACAACCGAUUUUUCAGACUUUGCCUUAUAUCGCCGAGUCAAUGGUAUAUGGAGUUUUGGAAGGAGUCGUUAUCGCUGAAAAUGAUCACGGAGCACUUUUUUGGACACCGAAAAUGGGAUGCGCCAUUUUACCAAGCACGUCUCUUGACACUCCAAUGCCUUCCCUCGGAAGUGUUCAUGUGAUUCUCGUAAAGUGAGUAAUUGGUAAGUAUGUUAAUAUCAUAAAAUCAUUUUCUUCAGACGAUGUAUCCCCGAAAAUUCGUUUGGUUUCUCUUGCUCAUACGAGUUACUCUCCAGUUUUCGUUCAACGGAAUGGCCGAAUCUGAAAGUCAUCACUGAUCAGAUCACCAGAAAAGUAUACGUGAGUUACCCAGCAUUCGUUUCGUCAAACAAUUGAAAUAUUUCAGAUUGAAGCGAAUGCAAGCUGCCGCAGUAUGAUGGAGAAUCAAGACUUUCCAAGUAUGAAUGUUCCACAUAUCGGGAAAGUGUUCAGAGGUUUACAACAGUACCGUGAUAAACUUUCUGCCGGUCAUCUCUACGAUUUUCGAAUGGAAUUUCAGAAAGAAGAAGGCUCCUUCGUGCCAACGAUUGUGGAUCUAUGCCUGGUACAUACUUUGAAAAAAUAAUAUAAAGGACUCCAAGAUAAAUGAAAGCAACUAAAUCUUGAUACUGCUCCUUGUUGUGUGAUUUUUAAUUGCUUUAAUUUCAGGAAGAGGACGAGAUGGUUGAUUGUCGAGUCGUCUACAUUUCCAAUGAAACGAGCACUUAUUUUGCAGUUCUGGAUCCGUCAAGUAACUCGUUUGAUCGCUUCAAACAGAGCAUCGAUUACAUUGCAAUCCCAUUCCGAGUAUUGUUUUGUGCUAAUGGUGUACAUGUGAAGAAUGAGGAAUUGUUACUGAAUUCGUACAAGGUCAGAGUUAGGUAAGGUAAAAACUGAGAUAUCCAUUAUUAAUAAUUGAAUUUCCAGAGUUCCGAGAAACCGUCACGACGUUGUGAAUGCCAUUCACGUUGAACACGUUAUUCAAAGUCCAAAAGAUCCAGCAUAUUUUAUAACGAAUGGCUCCGUAUGGGUAUGGAAUAUUAUUCAACUUUUAAUAACAACAUUUUUCUUUUCAGCUUCGAACUACGGUUAAAUUUCAAAACGCCUCCAGAUACGAGCUUCUCUGUCCUCUCCUCGAGCAGAAGAUUAUCGAUGUGAAUGGUGUCACUGCAGCGAUGUCUCUGACACAAGAAUUCACGGUCCACGCUCAAUUGUUAGUAAUUUUUAUUUGAAUUAUCUGUGAGAUAAUUAUUUUUCUUUCAGCGUUUUGAUGGAGAGAAACGUUCCUGUUUUUGUUGUUCGGCAACUGGCUUCAACUGUUCGUGAGCAUCCGAGAACGACGAAUUACCCAUCCAGAAGUCUCAAUUUGUCUUACGAAGUUUCCGGAGCUUUGGCAAGAACCAAUCCAAACGGUCAAUUAUCAGCUGCUGAUAAUAACAUUGUCUUAAUUAACGAUUCCAUCAGUUUGGAUCACAAUCUGCCCGACACCGGAGAAUAUCCAACAAUUCUGAACGAGUCAUCAUUCGAAAGACAGCUCUUGUUCGACAAUCAAAGUAUCGCGGAUAGUGCUUCAACUUCCGGAGAUUUCAUUUUAACGGAAUCAGUUUAUGAAUCAUCCAGUGCUGCUUCAACUUGUACAGUCAUCGACAGAAACGACGCGAGAUUUUCUGCGUUAAAUGAUGACUCCAAUAUUCUCAUCUCCGAAUCCUGGCUUGAUUCGACAAAUCAGCAUUCAGAAACAACUAUGGAUACUCCUGAGAUCAUAACUGAGUCUUUCUACGAAUCCACUCAUGAUCAAGCUUCUAGUCGUGCAUCAACUGUGGACAGACUAGCUUCAGAUGUUGAUAAAAUUAGCAUUGGUCGUCCUGAUUAUUCACCUCCACCAAGACGUCGAAUAUUCGGAUACAGUACUCCCGGUGAUAGAGUAAGACCGAGAAACAGUUAUGGCUCGAGUUCCAGUGGAUCAUUAAACGGACGCCCAAAACGUCGUGCUCCAUAUGGAUUCAGGCAGAUCAGGAAUAUCACGCCGCAUAAUGUGCUACUGAGAGAUAUUAUCUAUAAUAAUAUGUAAGUUCAAAAUCGUUAUAAAUUUUCGUGUCUUGAUUAUUCAUAUUUUCAGAAACAAUCGAAAAAUGUUUGUUGAACAGAAUAAAAAUGCCAUUCUCAAAUGCUGGAAUCGUUUACCGCUGGCGCAAGUGACACGAACGAAGAAAAUCUUCUGUACAGUAAUCGCCGUCGAAAGCAUCAAAUUUCCACCAUCAUUUGAUGAUACUUGCAUCAAAGGACUCGUACGUUUCGCUGUUGUAUAUGAUGAUAUGAACGUCAAGAACACGUCUGUCGUUGUUCCGAUCGGGUAUAUAUUAAUGUAAAGUUUUCUCAAAGUUAAUACUAAAAAUUUUAGAGGAAAUUUCAAUAAUCUGCCGAAAUCGUUCCAGUUAGGGGAUGCGUAUAAAGUUUUCCACUUUUCAUCCUACAAAGAUGUAAGUUUGCUUUUCUAACUUGCAAUGGACCUUCUGAUUCACUGAUGAUAGUUGAAUUUCUGAUUAAUACGAAGCUUUUUGUCCUAAUUGUUGCGUUUUUCAGCUCAUUUGUCGGAUCGGAGGAUUUUCGCACGGCCUCAAUGGAGAAUUGAGUCGCGUGGCUCCAGUGAAUUGUAUUUCCAACCCCGAAACAGUGAAUGGUCGGUACGGACAAAGAUAUUUGAGAUGUACUGUAAAUGCAGCGAGACCAGCGAUUUCAGAAAUCGAAAGUGAUGUUUUCGAAUUGUGGACAGUCCAUGGUCUUCCUGGAUUCAUCAUUGUGGAAAAAGUCCCACUCUUGGUCAGUUUAUUUUCUUUUUUGAUGUUGACUUUUUUAUCAUUCCAGAUGAACCAUUUGAAUAAAGAACCAAUUAAUCCAGAUGUGCACCAUCAACAUAUGUAUACUUGCAUUAUUGAGCCCCUGGCUGGAGUGAGUUUACGUUUAGCUAUUUCCAUAGAAACACUGCAAAAAUGAGAUUUCAUAUUUCACAAACCUCUUUUUUCGGAAUUUAUCUCUGCCGUAUCUCUCUAUAUGUUCUGGGUUUAUAUCAUUUACUUUUUGUUUCAGGGCCCUGUGGAAGCUUCAAUUCUCAAAGAUGUUAAAGAAGGUGAAGACAUUUGCAUAUUCUGGAGACUUGUCGUCGAGUUUUCCGAUACUGUUCCACUUCCCAGAUUAAAGGAAAAAACUGACAAGGUUGUGCCACAGAUAAGAACAGAACCGGUGCAAAGUGGCACUUUUUCUGUGGACGACUACGGAUGUUGGGAAACUUUACGAAUCAAUUCGAUUUUGGCUCAAGAGAAGCUUGACAGAAUGCGGGCCGUUGGCGAUCCAAGAGUUAAGAUGAUUGACGGACCAGAUUUGAGACCAGAAAUCGAGGUUCGAAAGGUCGAUGUGAAUACGAGACGAGAGAAAAUGUUCGCAGCGUUUGAUGCACUUCUGGAGAAGUUGCCACAACUUCACAGCGAAGGAAUUCUCGGAUACGUCCUGGAGGAUGAUUUACGAGUAAAGAUUAAAAAAUUGACGCCAAUGAACGAUAAUAAUCAUAAAUUUACAUUCACAUUCAGGUGAGUUCGAAAUAAAACUUUUAGAUGUAUUUAUCAUAUUAUCCUGAUUCUUUCAGAAACGGCUCGCUGGAAAUCGGUGUGAAUUACCUCACGGAUAUGCUCACUAGAGGAAAAAUAUACAAAGUGAUGAAUGAGAUGAAAAAACAUGUUCCUCUGCUUAAGGUGUUGUCAGAUUGCAUCGGUCUCAAUACAACUUAUAUCAAAAAAACUGAUGCAGUGAAGAUGAUGGUUAGUUCUAAAUUUCAGUACUGUUCACGCAUAAUUAUCUAUUUAUUUUCAGUUGCAUUACAUGUACCGAAACGAGCUACACACGUAUUUGUGAGAAAUCGACAUAAUUUUGAUAGUUUCUUUUUUUAUCCGCUUUCAAUUGCCAGAAAACCCUUUAUUUUUUCUUUUUUUUUCACUUUCUUCUUCAAUAAAACCCAUUUUGUUCUUAAUUUGUCUUGUUCGACAUUUACCAAAUUGGAAAUUGGGAGUUAUUUAAAACCAUGUAGUUUUUCAGUCUCAGAAUUAAUUUCCUCCAAUUAAACUAAUUUUAGUCACCAUUUCCGUCGUUGUAGGCCUGAAAUGUUUAUCUCGGUUACUGUAGUUUUUCAAGGUGCAUGCAUUCCCACUCGAAGGUCUCACAGCGACCCGCCCGUGCAACCUUUUGUUUUUGAUUCCAACGAACUCUUAUCCUACAUUUAUUUCGUUGAAUUUCGUUCUUUUUUGUUAAGAAAAUAGCGAAAUUGAGAUAUAUUUUACUUGAAAAUUAUUCCAGACGAUUUUUGACUUCUUUGAAACAUUUUUAAUUCAGAUUUACGAGUUUCUGUGACUUGCCGAUGAUUAUCACCACAAAACAAUGCAUUUUUAUAAAUACGGUGUUUUGAUUAAUCAGCUCAGCGAUUCGUUUGAGG
rnacentral:sRNA from 1 species